UUCGAUAGAAAUCUACCUAGGCCGUCGCCGCAAGGGCGAGGGCACAGGAGGUUCGCGACGCCGGCAGCGAACACCGAUGGCAGAUACUUUCUGCCUGACCUCGCCACGAGGUCUAAGGGACAUAACAGUCAAC
rfam:Pseudomonas taeanensis MS-3 contig_02, whole genome shotgun sequence.